rnacentral:rRNA from 1 species
CCCUUAGAUGUUCUGGGCCGCACGCGCGCUACACUGACGAAUGCAACGAGCUUAUAACCUUGGCCGAAAGGUCUGGGUAAUCUCCAAAUUUCGUCGUGAUGGGGAUAGAUUAUUGCAAUUAUUAAUCUUCAACGAGGAAUGCCUAGUAAGCGCAAGUCAUCAGCUUUCGUUGAUUACGUCCCUGCCCUUUGUACACACCGCCCGUCGCUCCUACCGAUUGAAUGGUCCGGUGAAGCGUUCGGACCGUGGCCUUUGGACGGUUCGCCGUCUGUUGGCUGCGGGAAGUUCGUUAAACCUUAUCAUUUAGAGGAAGGAGAAGUCGUAACA